AGCGAACGCUGGCGGCAGGCCUAACACAUGCAAGUCGAACGAACUCUUCGGAGUUAGUGGCGGACGGGUGAGUAACACGUGGGAACGUGCCUUUAGGUUCGGAAUAACUCAGGGAAACUUGUGCUAAUACCGCAUGUGCCCCUCCGGGGAAAGAUGUAUCGCCGUUCGAGCGGCCCGCGCCUGAUUAGCCAGUGGGUGAGGUAAAGGCCCGCCAAGGCGACGAUCAGUAGCUGGGCUGAGAGGAUGGUCAGCCACGUUGGGGCUGGGACACGGCCCAAACUGCUACGGGAGGGGGCAGUGGGGAAUGUUGCGCAAUGGGCGAAAGCCUGACGCAGCCAGGGCGCGUGAAUGAUGAAGGUCGGAGGAUUGUGAAAUUCUUUCACCGGGGACGAUAAUGACGGUACCCGGAGAAGAAGCCCCGGCUAACUUCGUG
rnacentral:rRNA from 1 species